UGGGGAAUAUUGGACAAUGGGCGAAAGCCUGAUCCAGCCAUGCCGCGUGUGUGAAGAAGGUCUUCGGAUUGUAAAGCACUUUAAGUUGGGAGGAAGGGCAGUUACCUAAUACGUGAUUGUUUUGACGUUACCGACAGAAUAAGCACCGGCUAACUCUGUGCCAGCAGCCGCGGUAAUACAGAGGGUGCAAGCGUUAAUCGGAAUUACUGGGCGUAAAGCGCGCGUAGGUGGUUAGUUAAGUUGGAUGUGAAAUCCCCGGGCUCAACCUGGGAACUGCAUUCAAAACUGACUGACUAGAGUAUGGUAGAGGGUGGUGGAAUUUCCGGUGUAGCGGUGAAAUGCGUAGAUAUCAAGAGGAACACCUGAGGCGAAGGCGGGUUGCUGGGCUGAUACUGACGCUGAGGCGCGAAAGCUAGGGUAGCAAACGGGAUUAGAUACCCUAGUAGUCCCUGAGCGGGCUGGCAAGGCGCAU
rnacentral:rRNA from 1 species